rnacentral:lncRNA from 1 species
GCCGCGUCCCCAGCGUUUCUCUCACCACUGGAGAGUAGUGUGAGGCGACUAUUGCCAGCCUGGCUGCCAAGUAGGACUCAGCAAACCCCCGGGACCUCGCCAGCCCUGCAGCUCAGUCCUCCAGGACUGAGCAGGGACUUCAGGUGACCUCCGCCCUCGCACUCCUGGGCCACGCACCUGGUGAGGAGGUUGCACCGUUUUGUCUCUGAAGUCCCCGGGAGAGAAGCACCGUGAGCUCCAGGUUUAGUCAAAGGCUUCGGGUCCGUCUAGCGAAAUCGUCACCACCUGUGUGGUUUGGGGAAAAUCACUUCAUCUUUGUGAGCUUAUUUCUUUAUCUAAAACAGCAGUGAUAACACGUUUCUGAGGGAUAAAAGCUAAUCAAUAGCUGGGCCUGGCGGUGCACACCUGUGACCCCAGCAUGCUGACAGGUGGGCAGGUCUGGCACAGCAGGUGUGCUCAGAAUGACUGCAGGAUCUGACUUCACGCAGAAGGGAAGAAGAGCUUUUUAAAGUAUUUUUUGCUCCCGAGUUCUCAUUGCCCAGAACACCGAGCGUGUACAUGGUGGCCUUGAUAAUGGAUGAGUGCAGCGAGAGUAAAACAUAUUCAGGAACUAAGAGAGAAGAAAAAUGUCUGGGAUGAAUCUAGUUAGAUUUGACCAUUCUCAGUAAAUGGAGCUAAAGAAGACAGAAAGAUCUCACCAGUUUCCAGAGCACCUUUCCCAGUGAUAACUUGUGUUCCAUUGCUCUUCGGUCUCAAGUGUUCCAAACAUGACACCUUUUGGGGGAUAUGGGGGGGUGUUCAUUUUUCUUGGCUUAAUUAGCCUUUAAUACAAAAUAAAUUACUCUGAUUCCUAGCACAUGAAAGUCAAAUGAGAUAAGC